UCUUCGUCUAGAAGAGAUUUUUCUUAUUUUCCGUGAGAAAAACUGUAAUUACUCGACGUUUUUGCUGCUCUUUAACGGGGUUUUGUCUAAAUGGAGCAGGAAGGAAAGAAUCAAGGAACUCUGGAAACCGAUUUUCUCUUACAGUGGGGCAGUCGAAAGCGGCUCCGAUGUGCUAA